AUGGUGCCUCUGGUUCCUAUCUCUAGAGGGGCCUUUGGAGUUGCUCUGCUUAUGGCUGCCAUGGCUAGAGGAGGGAGAAAUGAAGACAAUGGUUUGUUUGGUUUUGAGAGGAGCUGAUGUGAGUGGAGAGCAUGAGAUUGGGGUGAUGUUGAUAUGGGUCACCCAAUACAUGUGUGUGCAAUCAAAGCAUUUUUGGAUGGGUUUCUACCUCAUUGAUGCUCAGGUUAGUGGGGUCUUUUCUGAAUUUUUUACCAACCAUUGAUUUCUUUCUGUUGCUUUCUUUUUGGCUGUCCUUUUCUUGUGAGGCUUGUUGGCAAAGUAUGGGAAGGCGCGGUGUCAUGCUUUUGGAUCAUAUUCUGGUUAGGGCAAGGGACAAGAAUGCUUAUUUUCGAAUGGGGUUUCAAAGAGCAAACCACAAAUUUCUUUGGACUCUUAUUGAAAGGGUGUGGUUUGUAUAAGGCUGAGGCCCUAAAUAAUCAAAGUAAGGCGCACCUUCAAAUGGUAUCGGAUGAUGUUGUUUUAGUGCCAAAAAUCAUUAUGGUCGCCUGAAAAAUUAUUUUUAUUUCAAUUAUAAAAUGUAAAGCUUUAAAAAUAGUGUAUA